ACAGCUGAGGGCACGAUCUAAAUCACGCCUCCUGCCCGUCCAGACACGAUCAGUGGUCAUCUCACAAAAUAACGAAUCUGCCAGCACAGAGAAUCCCAGCAUGUCUCGAAAGAAUCAACCUCUUGAAUUUUAUUUCUAACCUUUUCUUACCCUUGAAGUAUUUCAAACUCUAGCAGCCCUGCUCACAAGCCUCCAACAAAGAGCUGCCCCCGGAGACAAAUAUGAGCCCCGUGACCGGCUCUGUCAUGGGCCGAGGCCAGGACCUUCGAGGAACACUUAAUGAUGCAAAAUAGGCCGUGGCAGAGUUGCUGUUUGAGCCUUCCACCCUCCGUCUCGGGUGUCCGGGAGAGCAGAAGGUGACCGAAGGCAGCUGCACGUCCCUGGGCCACCCACGGCGUCUCCAUCUGUGUCCCGGACCCACCUCCAGGUUCAGCACUUCUGGGAGAGCCCAGGAGGCCGGCGUUGGGUCAGAAGCAGCUCUUCUUUGUCUUCUACAGUUUUCGUGGUUCAGGCACCAUCGGCCCAGCUCUAGAAAAUCUCAGAAGAGGAAGCUAAAGGACAAGCCGUGGAAGGGAUUUGGAGGAAAAGUGGAGCGGAUGCACUUUUAACUAGUGGAUGACCACUCCUUUGAGCACGCAGUCACCUCCCUGAGUGACCACCUAGUGCACAGGGUAUUGCAGGCCUGGAAGGACCAACAGAGGCUGAGGCACCAACGAUGCUGAAUGAGCUGCUUCGUCCCCGUCCUCCCCCCUCACCACCUCCCCCUGCUCCUCCUUCUCCUGUGAACAUUUUACCAUUCUUGAUGCAGAACAAGGACCAUUUUCUUCCCCGGACAGAUCCCAACACAAGGUUUCCAGCAUGGCCUACGCCAAGUGGAAAGAUGACCAACAAAUGGACUGUCCAAAUCUAGAGGCAAAAUAACAAAUUAAAUGACAUUGGAAUGCAGAGCCACCCACAAAAUUUCCAGAGCCCCCCAUGUUAGUUUGCUGGGGCUGCUGUCACAAAGCACCACAGAAUGUUAUGGUCGCCCAGUUCUGGAGGCAGGAUGUCUGAAAUCUGGUGUCGGCAGGCACCGCUCGCCCUGGGGACACAGGGCGAGGACGGUCCCCCCGGUCCCGCAGCCUUGGGCGCUCCUGGCUCGUAGGCGCGUCACUGGUUUCCAACUUCACAUCAUCUCCCUCUGUGCGUCUCUGUGUCCACGUUUCCCUGUUUUCUGAGACCAUAAGUGACAUGGGAUUAGCACCCACCAUAGCGACUUCAUCCUGACUUGGUUACAUCUGAAGAAACUCUAUUUCCAACUAAGGUCAGGUGCUGAGGUGUUGGGAUUUAGGGCUUUACUGUACCUUCUUUGGAGGAUGUAAUUCAACCCAUAACACCCUUUAUGCACUGUUCUGUAGCCCUUGCUUGGUGGCAUCUUCAUAUUACGUCAAUCAAGGAGAAACUUGCUUUCAGCUAGAUAUCAUGGUUUUGUCUUCUUCCUUUUGUUCCUGUAUUUUUAGGUUUGAUAUGAAUGUGAUUAUAAUUCUCUUUUCCCCAAGACUAUUUACCAGUGAAUGGGAGAUUAUUUAAUCCAGAAAGCUCUAGGUCCUCUGACAGAUGGUGAAUAAAAUACAAAGCUUAAUGGGGGCAUGUGCUUUGUAUUCCCAAGGGCCUGACCUGGUCUGAAGAAUCACCACUCAAGCACACACCGUGCUUCUCUGUUUGAUGCUCGUGGUGACUAAUUCCCAACAGAACUCAUUCCUCUGUCUCUUUUUCAAGAGUCACUUCUCUAGACCAGGCCCGGUGAUUACCUGUCAACCCACAAUGGGGAGAGUGUAAAUGAUGUUGACAGACUCACCUCUUUCAAAUGUCAUUUAUUUUUCUUCUUUAUAAGUGCCCAAAUGGCCCUGGCUUUUUGCCACAAAGAAAAUCAAGUGUGAAGUUAGGAGCAGGAUUCGUUGGCUGAGAUUUUCCCAAGCAACACACACACAAAGAGCCUGGUGAUCUGGGUCAGGUGGACGGCCAUUCUCAGCGCUCGUCAGUGGCGACUGGUUGCUGGGGAAGGAGGGACUCGAUGAGACAGAUGCAGAGCAGAGAAGGCCUUGCUUCAGUGGGAAGAAGGUGGACAAAAUAAAGUGGCUGGAGAAGGAGAGCAAUCAGAGGGUCUUCUAGCACUUUUGAUUGCUUUCUUCUCUCGCAUCCAAGUAUGAAUCCAUUAUUCUCAGACCUAUUAUUGCCGCGUGAUAAGAGACCUUCCUCCGUCCUCCGCACGCUGGCCUUUUUCCCCUUGUCUGACAGCAAGUUCCCCACGGCUCGAGCAAAUGUCCCAUCCUGUGUCUUCCCUCCACUUCCUCUGACUUGGCUACUCCCGCCCCUCCUCUCCCUCGUUGUAGUUUGAUCUCUCAUCUCAGGAGGGAAAUCUUCCCAAAUGAGAGAAGAGCCCCCCUCCACUGAAGACGAUUACUGGGAGAAUGGCGGGCGGCUGCGGCUGGUUAUCGCUUCCCAGGCUGUGCUAGCUGCUGACCAAGCUCCAGGGCUGGGACAGC